rnacentral:rRNA from 1 species
GAGUUUGAUCCUGGCUCAGGACGAACGCUGGCGGCGCGCCUAACACAUGCAAGUCGAACGGAGCUGAGAGAAGCUUGCUUUUCUUAGCUUAGUGGCGAACGGGUGAGUAACGCGUGAGUAACCUGCCCUGGAGUGGGGGACAACAGUUGGAAACGACUGCUAAUACCGCAUAAGCCCACGAUCCGGCAUCGGAUUGAGGGAAAAGGAUUUAUUCGCUUCAGGAUGGACUCGCGUCCAAUUAGCUAGUUGGCAGGGCAGCGGCCUACCAAGGCGACGAUCCAUAGCCGGCCUGAGAGGGUGAACGGCCACAUUGGGACUGAGACACGGCCCAGACUCCUACGGGAGGCAGCAGUGGGGAAUAUUGCACAAUGGGGGAAACCCUGAUGCAGCGACGCCGCGUGAAGGAAGAAGUAUCUCGGUAUGUAAACUUCUAUCAGCAGGGAAGAUAAUGACGGUACCUGACUAAGAAGCCCCGGCUAACUACGUGCCAGCCGCCGCGGUAAUAC